rnacentral:rRNA from 1 species
ACAAUGCAAGUCGCACGCUGAGCGGUGCUUGCACCGUGGAUGAGUGGCGAACGGGUGAGUAACACGUGGGUAAUCUGCCCUGCACUCUGGGAUAAGCCCUGGAAACGGGGUCUAAUACCGGAUAUGACAUCGUGCCGCAUGGUGCGGUGUGGAAAGCUCCGGCGGUGCAGGAUGAGCCCGCGGCCUAUCAGCUUGUUGGUGGGGUGAUGGCCUACCAAGGCGACGACGGGUAGCCGGCCUGAGAGGGUGACCGGCCACACUGGGACUGAGACACGGCCCAGACUCCUACGGGAGGCAGCAGUGGGGAAUCUUGCGCAAUGGGCGAAAGCCUGACGCAGCAACGCCGCGUGGGGGAUGACGGCCUUCGGGUUGUAAACCUCUUUCGACACCGACGAAGCCAUCUUCGGGUGGUGACGGUAGGUGUAGAAGAAGCACCGGCUAACUACGUGCCAGCAGCCGCGGUAAUACGUAGGGUGCGAGCGUUGUCCGGAUUUAUUGGGCGUAAAGAGCUCGUAGGCGGUUUGUCGCGUCUAUCGUGAAAACCGGGAGCUUAACUCCUGGCUUGCGGUGGAUACGGGCAGACUUGAGUUCGGUAGGGGAGACUGGAAUUCCUGGUGUAGCGGUGAAAUGCCCAGAUAUCAGGAGGAACACCGGUGGCGAAAGGCGGGUCUCUGGGCCGAUACUGACGCUGAGGAGCGAA